AUGGGGAAUAUUGGACAAUGGGCGAAAGCCUGAUCCAGCCAUGCCGCGUGUGUGAAGAAGGUCUUCGGAUUGUAAAGCACUUUAAGUUGGGAGGAAGGGCAGUAAGUUAAUACCUUGCUGUUUUGACGUUACCAACAGAAUAAGCACCGGCUAACUUCGUGCCAGCAGCCGCGGUAAUACGAAGGGUGCAAGCGUUAAUCGGAAUUACUGGGCGUAAAGCGCGCGUAGGUGGUUCAGCAAGUUGAAGGUGAAAUCCCCGGGCUCAACCUGGGAACUGCCUCCAAAACUACUGAGCUAGAGUACGGUAGAGGGUAGUGGAAUUUCCUGUGUAGCGGUGAAAUGCGUAGAUAUAGGAAGGAACACCAGUGGCGAAGGCGACUACCUGGACUGAUACUGACACUGAGGUGUGAAAGCGUGGGGAGCAAACAGGAUUAGAAACCCUGGUAGUCC
rnacentral:rRNA from 1 species